AGAGUUUGAUUAUGGCUCAGAGUGAACGCUGGCGGCAGGCCUAACACAUGCAAGUCGAGCGGCAGCACAGCAGUAGCAAUACUGUGGGUGGCGAGCGGCGGACGGGUGAGGAAUACAUCGGAAUCUACCUUCUUGUGGGGGAUAACGUAGGGAAACUUACGCUAAUACCGCAUAAGACCUGAGGGUGAAAGCGGGGGACCGCAAGGCCUCGCGCGAGAAGAUGAGCCGAUGUCCGAUUAGCUAGUUGGUGAGGUAAAGGCUCACCAAGGCGACGAUCGGUAGCUGGUCUGAGAGGAUGAUCAGCCACACUGGAACUGAGACACGGUCCAGACUCCUACGGGAGGCAGCAGUGGGGAAUAUUGGACAAUGGGCGCAAGCCUGAUCCAGCCAUGCCGCGUGUGUGAAGAAGGCCUUCGGGUUGUAAAGCACUUUUGUUGGGGAAGAAAAGACCGUGGUUAAUAACCGUGGUUCAUGACGGUACCCAAAGAAUAAGCACCGGCUAACUUCGUGCCAGCAGCCGCGGUAAUACGAAGGGUGCAAGCGUUACUCGGAAUUACUGGGCGUAAAGCGUGCGUAGGCGGUUUGUUAAGUCUGUCGUGAAAGCCCCGGGCUCAACCUGGGAAUGGCGGUGGAUACUGGCAGGCUAGAGUACGGUAGAGGAUGGUGGAAUUCCCGGUGUAGCAGUGAAAUGCGUAGAGAUCGGGAGGAACAUCUAUGGCGANNNCAGCCAUCUGGACCAGUACUGACGCUGNNNCACGAAAGCGUGGGGAGCAAACAGGAUU
rnacentral:rRNA from 1 species